rnacentral:rRNA from 1 species
AUUGAACGCUGGCGGCAUGCCUUACACAUGCAAGUCGAACGGUAACAGGUCUUCGGAUGCUGCCGAGUGGCGAACGGGUGAGUAAUACAUCGGAACGUGCCCGAUCGUGGGGGAUAACGAGGCGAAAGCUUUGCUAAUACCGCAUACGAUCUACGGAUGAAAGCGGGGGAUCUUCGGACCUCGCGCGGCCGGAGCGGCCGAUGGCAGAUUAGGUAGUUGGUGGGAUAAAAGCUUACCAAGCCGACGAUCUGUAGCUGGUCUGAGAGGAUGAUCAGCCACACGGGGACUGAGACACGGCCCAGACUCCUACGGGAGGCAGCAGUGGGGAAUUUUGGACAAUGGGCGAAAGCCUGAUCCAGCCAUGCCGCGUGCAGGAUGAAGGCCUUCGGGUUGUAAACUGCUUUUGUACGGAACGAAAAGCCUCUUUCUAAUAAAGAGGGGUCAUGACGGUACCGGAAGAAUAAGCACCGGCUAACCACGUG